rnacentral:lncRNA from 1 species
UGUAUAUGGCAUCAGUAAUCAGAAUCAUAAAACUCUCAACAAAUCCUACCUACUUGACCUACAUUCAACACGUGAAUGUCAACCAAAGUAAUUAGGAUAGUUUGAAUUGAUUAAAAAUGAUAUAAGUAUGAACUUGAUAAGUUAGAAAUCAAUUAAAAAAAAAGAUAAAACGUCAUAAGGAUUUACCUUAAUAAGUUGAAUCAAUUCACAUUCAAUAAGAAGGCUAAAGGAACCUAACU